UUCAUAAUGCAGAACUUCAGUCCUAUUCCAGAAGGCUCUCUUCUAGCAGAAUCUGCAGGGCAUUGAUUAUAUACCCGAUGAGCCAUAGAAUCAUCAAGACCCAGGCCAGCUCCACUCGGAGUUGCUCCAUACUCUGCAUGGUCCACUCUUCUAUCUCCUUCUGUUUCCCACUUAGGUAUUCGGAGCACCAUUCAGGCUGAUGCUCAUGCUGCUACUGAACUGCCCCAGACACUGGUGUCAUCUCCAUUACCUGAAGAGGACAAUGAAAUGUCUCCUUUAUCUUUAUCCUGCUUCUGUGUAGCAGAGUCUCAAAUGAAUACAGACUUCAGGGUCGUGGCUCUUUGAGAAUGUCACACAGCACUUUAUGCCCACAGCAUACAAUGCUUCCAGAAAGUCUAGGUCAAGGCAGCCGGACAGUACCAGGAGCCUCAGGCCCUGUCGCUGAAGCUGCCCCAUCGUGCCACACUUCACAACUUCCAAAGGUAGAGUUCUCUCUGAAAACUCACAAUCUUGCCAUCUGUCUCCAUUCUCAUAUCUCAAUCUAUUCAGCUUAUCAGUCUCCAUGUGCCACUUUCCCAUGAGGCAUUUCAACAUCCAUGUAAAUCAGAAGUGAUGCAUAAACUAGGUGUCAGGAGCAUAGGGGAGCACAAGGCAUUAUCUAUUUCUGUGAGCCAUGCUUAACAUACAGCUACUCAGUACCAAAGAACUCAGUCGCUACAAUAUAGAGAUAAUUACAAACAAAUGAGUGACAUCAACGAGAUCUAAGUUGUCAUAAAUACAAUUUCAUAUUUUUUUAUGAAUGAAAAAAUAUUUAUCUUUUUUCAAAAAUUCACUUGGAAAUUAUUUUCAUGAUAUAGUACCAUGAUCAUGAUUUUAUCAUACUCUCCAACAACAUCAAUAAGAAAAACCAGCUCAGGGCAGGCCCUGUGGCAUAGUGGUUAAGUCCAGCACACUCUGCUUUGGCAGCCCAGGUUCACAAUUUUGGAUCCUGGGCAUGGACCUACACCACUCGUCAAGCCACACUUUGGUGGUGAUCCACAUACAAAAUAGAUGAAGAUUAGCAAGGUGUUAGCUCAGAGUAAAUUUUCCUCAACGAAAAAAAGAAAAGAAGGCUCUCAAGCUCUGAAGCUUUUCCUAUACUCUGCUCUUCUCCCCCAAGGCCCUAACAUUCCACACACAUUCCAUGGUUGCCAGGAUGCUCUGCUUUAUUCAGCAUUACAUCACCAGAUGCUAGGAACAUAUCUGGAGUAGAGUGGACUUUUGUGGGUUGCUUCUGGGGGCAUUAACUCCUCCCCAUCUCUGACCUGCUGCUUGAGCAGACUCCUAAUGUGUUUCUAGAGCCAGAGAAAGCCCUCAGACUGAGGCAUUUGAGGUCUCUCAUAAACAAGGAGGACAGUUUAACAGAAUUCAAAAUAACCUAAAGAGUACAAACCAAGGAAAAUUCUUUAUGACUACCAAGUAACAAUAUGAAGAAUGAAACCACUCAUGCUGGGUUGCCUACAGAUGGAAGUAGAGAGAAUAACUUAAACUAAGUACAGAAAGUUAAAUAAGAUAAUCCCCCUUUAAAUGACACGUGGCUGAUAGACCGCUAAUGCAGCCUUCUCCCUAUGGACAAAAAAACACAGAAAAAGACAAAAACUAACAGGUAAGUAAAACAGACUCAACCUUGGGCUAGAAUCUGGGAGUAACUGACAUACUUAAAAUAUAAACAGAAGUAGUCUGAGAGGGGGAAAAAAAGAAAGGAAGAAAUUUACCUGGAUUCAGUCCUUGACCAAAGUCAAGAAAUUGAAAAAAAAAUUCAGGAAGAUGCUG
ensembl:lncRNA